rfam:Schistosoma rodhaini strain Burundi genome assembly, scaffold: SROB_scaffold0025067
AUCCAGCUGACGAGUCCCAAAUAGAAUGAAAUGCGCGUCAAACUGGAU